GUGUUUGCUUUGGAAACACAGAUGCUAAAAAUAGAAUAAUGCAGAGAUGAUUGGAAUGGUCCCUACACAGGAUGACAUGCAUAUUUGUGAAGCAUUCCAUAUUUUU
ensembl:snRNA Gm23242 U6 spliceosomal RNA